rnacentral:rRNA from 1 species
UACGGGGGGGGCAAGCGUUGUUCGGAAUUACUGGGCGUAAAGGGCUCGUAGGCGGCCAACUAAGUCAGACGUGAAAUCCCUCGGCUUAACCGGGGAACUGCGUCUGAUACUGGAUGGCUUGAAUCCGGGAGAGGGAUGCGGAAUUCCAGGUGUAGCGGUGAAAUGCGUAGAUAUCCGGAAGAACACCUGAGGCGAAGGCGGCUUGCUGGGCAUGAUCUGACGCUGAGGCGCGAAAGCGUGGGGAGCAAACAGG